rnacentral:rRNA from 1 species
GAUGAACGCUGGCGGCGUGCCUAGUACAUGCAAGUCGAGCGAACAGAUGAGGAGCUUGCUCCUCUGACGUUAGCGGCGGACGGGUGAGUAACACGUGGAUAACCUACCUAUAAGACUGGGAUAACUUCGGGAAACCGGAGCUAAUACCGGAUAAUAUAUUGAACCGCAUGGUUCAAUAGUGAAAGACGGUUUUGCUGUCACUUAUAGAUGGAUCCGCGCCGCAUUAGCUAGUUGGUAAGGUAACGGCUUACCAAGGCAACGAUGCGUAGCCGACCUGAGAGGGUGAUCGGCCACACUGGAACUGAGACACGGUCCAGACUCCUACGGGAGGCAGCAGUAGGGAAUCUUCCGCAAAGGGCGAAAGCCUGACGGAGCAACGCCGCGUGAGUGAUGAAGGUCUUCGGAUCGUAAAACUCUGUUAUUAGGGAAGAACAAAUGUGUAAGUAACUAUGCACGUCUUGACGGUACCUAAUCAGAAAGCCACGGCUAACUACGUG